GGAGGGAUCUGCGGCCCAUCAGCUAGUUGGUGAGGUAACGGCUCACCAAGGCGAAGACGGGUAGGGGGUGUGAGAGCAUGGCCCCCCACAAUGGGACUGAGACACGGCCCAUACUCCUACGGGAGGCAGCAGCGGGGAAUAUUGCGCAAUGGACGGAAGUCAGACGCAGCGACGCCGCGUGGGUGAGGAAGGCCUUCGGGUUGUAAAGCCCUUUUCAGGGGAGCGAGAAAGGACGGUACCCUUGGAAUAAGCGUCGGCUAACUACGUGCCAGCAGCCGCGGUAAGACGUAGGACGCAAGCGUUAUCCGGAUUUACUGGGCGUAAAGCGCCUGUAGGCGGUCAAGUAAGUCGGAUGUGAAAGCCCCGUGCUCAACGCGGGGAAGCCAUUCGAUACUGCGUGACUAGAGAACGGCAGAGGGAAACGGAAUUUCUGGUGUAGCGGUAAAAUGCGCAGAGAUCAGAAAGAACACCGAUGGCGAAGGCAGUUUCCUAGGCCGCAUCUGACGCUGAGAGGCGAAAGCUAGGGGAGCAAACAGGAUUAGAGACCCUGGUAGUCCUAGCUGUAAACGAUGGAUGCUAGGUGUGGGCCGGAAAGGUCCGUGCUGUAGUUAACGCGAUAAGCAUCCCGCCUGGGGAGUACGGCCGCAAGGCUAAAACUCAAACGAAUUGACGGGGACCCGCACAAGCAGCGGAGCGUGUGGUUUAAUUCGAUGCUACACGCAGAACCUUACCUGGGCUUGACAUGUAGGUGGUAGUGAAGUGAAAGCGGAGCGACCCUUCGGGGAGCCUACACAGGUGCUGCAUGGCUGUCGUCAGCUCGUGCCGUGAGGUGUCGGGUUAAGUCCCGUAACGAGCGCAACCCUUGUCCUUAGUUACAAGUGUCUAAGGAGACUGCCGGUGACAAACCGGAGGAAGGCGGGGAUGACGUCAAGUCAGCAUGGCCCUUAUGUCCAGGGCGACACACACGCUACAAUGGUCGGUACAAUGGGCAGCGCAGCCGCGAGGUGAAGCGAAUCCCAACAAAGCCGAUCCCAGUUCGGAUUGCAGGCUGCAACCCGCCUGCAUGAAGCCGGAGUUGCUAGUAACCGCGCGUCAGCCAUAGUGCGGUGAAUACGUUCCCGGGUCUUGUACACACCGCCCGUCACGUCAUGGGAGUUGGUA
rnacentral:rRNA from 1 species